GACACAUCUCUGGGACUGCAUGCAGUACAGGACUACCUGUGGUCCAACAAUUCUACAACCAAGCUUUUUGAGAUGAUUGAAAACAACACCUGUAAAAGGAUCACAGAUGUAAAGGGAUUUAUCAUUUUCUUUUAUAUUGAGUGCUGCUUCUUCUUCAAGAAUCUGGAGAUGUUCUUCUGACUGAAAUUCUUUUAUAGACUCCAAAGCUUUCAAGAAAUACUCCGAGCUCCCAGAAGAUUUUACGAAUUUCACCAAGAACACCUCCUUGCUGCCUUUCAUCCUUUAACAACCGCAGCACCGCUGCGUGCCCGGCGCUGCCGGUGGAACGCUGCACGGUCCCCUACACCAAGCCCACCCCUCACGCAGCACCC
rnacentral:lncRNA from 1 species